CCGUGAUAGGUCAUCUCAUCUGGAAGGAGAGAUGGCUUAAAGGGAUGCGCGGGCUUCUUCUGCGUAUUUGCUCCAGGAUGGGACUGCGUCCGAUCAGGCUGUUGGCGGGGUAAUGGCCCACCAAGCCAGUAACCGGUACGGGCCUUGAGAGAGGUGGCCCGGAGAUGGACACUGAGAGAAGGGUCCAGGUCCUACGGGGCGCAGCAGGCGCGAAACCUUCGCAAUGCGCGCAAGCGUGACGAGGUUAAUCCGAGUGAUUUCCGCUGAGGAGACCUUUUGUCUGCUGUAAAUAGGCAGGCGAAUAAGGGGAGGGCAAGCCUGGUGUCAGCCGCCGCGGUAAUACCAGCUCCUCGAGUGGUCGGGGCGAUUAUUGGGCCUAAAGCAUCCGUAGCCGGUUCCGUAGGUCCUCUGUUAAAUCCAACCGCCCAACGGUUGACCUGCAGAGGAUACCGCGAGACUAGGAGGCGGGAGAGGCGGACGGUACUCCGCGUGUAGGGGUAAAAUCCUUCGAUCCGCGGAAGACCACCAGUGGCGAAGGCGGUCCGCCAGAACGCGCUCGACGGCGAGGGAUGAAAGCUGGGGGAGCGAACCGGAUUAGAUACCCGGGUAGUCCCAGCCGUAAACGAUGCUAGCUAGAUGAUUCAUUCGCAAGUCGCGAAUGAAGUGUCGCAGGGAAGCCGUUAAGCUAGCCGCCUGGGGAGUACGGUCGCAAGACUGAAACUGAAGGCCGGCAAAACGACCUUCGGCAGUUAACUUAAAGGAAUUGGCGGGGGAGCAC
rnacentral:rRNA from 1 species